AAUAUAAAAACAUCCACGAUCAACACAUCCCUGUCACUAAAGAAUAGAAUUUUCUCUUGUCUGUUUUAAAACAAUAAAUAAUCGAAUACUAAAAUAAUACUGCAGUACCUACCAUAUUGCUAUUAUUAUUAUACUACUUUCAAAAAAAUUGUAGGGGUGGAAGUUGAAAAUGUAAACCCUCAAUGGCACAUCCUUGAUAUAAAUACUACGCGUAUACAUAACUUUUACUC